rnacentral:rRNA from 1 species
UACGUAGGGGGCUAGCGUUGUCCGGAUUUAUUGGGCGUAAAGAGCGUGUAGGCGGCCAUGUAGGUCCGGUGUGAAAACUCGAGGCUUAACCUCGAGAUGUCAUCGGAAACCAUUUGGCUAGAGUCCGGAAGAGGAGAGUGGAAUUCCCGGUGUAGCGGUGAAAUGCGCAGAUAUCGGGAAGAACACCCGUGGCGAAGGCGGCUCUCUGGGACGGUACUGACGCUGAGACGCGAAAGCGUGGGGAGCGAACAGGG